ensembl:lncRNA
AGGGUGACACAAUAAAAGGGACACACUGGGCACAGCACCACCACCCCAACAAGUUCCUCUUGUUCCCCCUAAGGAGCCAAACAGGAAUUGUUGCCACAGGUCACCAGGUCAACGAGCUACAGGAAAGGUUUGCUUAGAAGGAGUUUAGGUGCGACUUCUUUAAAUUUGCUGAAAUUGUUGUAGUAAUGAUUUCAGGCCGCGAGUUGACAAAGGACCUUGGCUCUGCGGCGGCGCCCCUCCCGCCCCGUGGACCACCUGACCCCUCGGCACCCAUUCCGGCCCGGGCUCCCCACCUCCUCCUCCGCCCUCCGCGCCCUGGACACACAGGGAUCGGACGCUCCCCGGGGUGCCGCGAGGGGCAGCGCUGGAUUCUGGUUGCAGAUCACAGGCUGCUCUGGGAAUCUAACAAGAAUGCAGGAGCCUCCUCCUGGCAGCUGUGGAGAAAUGUCAGGGGCCGACUAGACAGAAGGCAUGCCGUUUUGAAACAGCUUUCAACAGUCACUAGCUUUGACUUACACUUCUGGCCAAGUCAGUCACCAGGACCCAUUUCCAUCCCGCCUCCUGUCUGAAACAACCAAAACAAACUCAAAACAUGUGAGACAAUUGUUUUCAUGACCCUGGACAUCAGGCCGUGGAAGACACUAAUCCCCGAGAGACAGAAAAAUGAGGUUGAGCCCAUGUCUGGGCCAAGUCACUACCUUGAGGGACUGCCCAGACCACAGAGCAGGAAGGGGACCCGGAUGGAGCCCAGCAGAAUCCUUGAGCUGACAGCAUAGUGGCUGGAGUUGGACAACUGAGAAUAGAGGACCCAGAGGUCCUGCUCUAGCAUCGCGCCAAACGCUGGUCAACACAGGUGUACAGAUGCCGCUCAACGUGGGAAAGGGUUAGAGGGACCUGCGCAACCCCGGCACAGCUGAAAAGAGUGCUGACAGGGGCAGGAGAACAGUUGUUAACUGCAUUCUGUAUGUCUAAAAGGUUAUGUAGGGGCCUGGAGUAAAGCACAUGCUUAGCAUGUGUGAGGCUUUGUGGGUUCAAUCCCCAGCAUCCCCCACCCAUGAAGGACAUGGGAGAUGUAUUAAUUAGCUGUCCUGUUGCUGAACCAAUAUUCUACACUUGCAAUUUAAAGGAGGAGAGGUUUAAUUUAGCCUAUGGUUUGGGAGAUUCAGUCCAUGGUCCGCUGGCUCCAAAGCUGGAACAUCAUUGUGGAAGGGUAUGGCGGAGCAAAGCUGCUCAAUUCAUGGUGGUUGGGAAGCAGAGCCAGGGAACAGCACUGGAGAGGAACAGGGGGGCACUAUGUAUGGUGCCCAUGGCCACACCUCCAUGACCCACCCAGGCACACCUAGGAGCUGUUCUAUCCUGCUGGUGUUUCUUCUUCUUCUUUUUUUUUUUGGUACUGGGGAUCGAAUUCCAGACCUUGCACUUGUGAGGCAGGCAGCAGAACCACUGAGAGCUAAAUCCCCGGCCCACUGCUGGUGUUUCUUAAUCUGAUGAUGCUGAUGUUUCAGGAUGAGAUCACUGAAGACAUUACAAAGUUCAAGUUGAACUUCUAGAGAUGAAAACAAUGCCUGGGGUGGGUGUGGUGGCACAUCCCAGUGCUCAGGAGGCUGAGACAGGAGGAUUGCUGUGAGUUCUAGGCCAGCCUGGGCUACAAAGUGAGUUCAAGGCCUGCCUGAACUACACAGUGAGACCCUGUCUCAAAGAUAAAUAAAUAAAUAAAAUGAAAAGAACAUCAAUGAUUUGGAAUUGGCUAUGCUGGUUACUGAGAAGAACCUGUCUGUGAGUUACAGGACAGGGCUAAUCAGCCAUGCAUUUACAUGAUCCUUUUGAGACUGCAGACACACCGGGAUGGGGGUUUCUGGGGAUGUCCAAUGAUUCCCAGAAGUCCCCAGUCAUUGUCCUGGGCCUGUGGUCAACUGGAUGUCUCGAGAGGCAGAGCCCACCUGGCUGAGACCCCAUGCAGACAGAGACAUCCUUUCCUGGGACAGAAGCAUCCCUGGCUGUGCAGAUCCCAGAGCUGGGACAGCAGAACUGAGAUGAUGUUCAGAGACCCCAGCCACCAGCCAGGCCUUUACAGAUGGCCGGUCUGCAUCCCUGCAUCAGCGUACCACCUCCAGCCACCUGAGUGGAAGCAUUUCCUGUCUUCCUCUAACUUUCCAGUGCAAGUUUUCUUCCUGCAAAAGUGUGCUUUGGUUUUAAUCUCCCGAUCUCCUAAAUCAAGGACUCAAAGCAGCCAAGGACAACCCUACCCUACUUCACAGAUCUUGUUAUGCACUGAACUGCACCCCAAGGCUCCUGUGCUGAUCCCAGUGUGCCUGCUUGGCGAUGAAUGAUGCUAAAUCAGGUCAUAAGGGUGGGGCCCUAUCCACUGAAAUCUCAGCACCGAAUUGGCUGGCGCCUGGGUUGUGGCCAUCCCAUCUCCAGAUCUGCAAGAGAUCAAUGUCAGUGUGCACCCGCCCGGCUCUGCUGAUUUGUCUCAGCAUCUGACCUAAGAUAGAUCUCACCCUAGUUUAGCUGAGCGCAUUGCAGUGACCCCAUAAAGCCACAAAGGGUCACCCCCCAAGGUGGGGCUCUGGGGAAACAGGCUGGCAGUUCUGGGAAGGCACUGGAUUGCACAACUUGGACCUGGUGUGCAGCCAGACCAGGAGCCGGCCUUCUCACAACCUCUCUGUCCUCGCCAGCUAUGAACCACAAACUUCAUCCUGUCCACACAACAGGCAAGCAUUAAGUAUGAAAAGGACCAGGCGCAGUGGUACAUGCCUGUUAUCUCAGCACUCUGGGAGGCUGAGGCAGGAGGAUCACAGGUUCAAGCCCAGCCAGGGCAACUUAGAGUUAGCAAGACUCUGUCUCAAAAAAUGAAGAAAGGUCUCACAUUCUUCCUGGGGGACCCCACACCCAGUGUGGCAUCUGUGCCCCUCAGGCUCAACUCCUAAGGAUGCGUCUUUGGAAGAAAAUUAGGUUGCGUGAUGCAUCAUGGACAGACAGGGGGCACGUGAAGGCAUCUGUCACCACCCGGCAAGCUCACCAAGGUCAUGGACAAGUCCCCUGGCCAGUGUGCAAAGCACUGUUGUCAGGUGGCAUGGAGUGCAUCAGACGGAGGCAGAGGCACAACAGGAACCAACUGAAGUCAUGUUUUGUUGUUGUUGUUGUUGUUUUGUGGUACUGGGGAUCAAACUCAGGACCUUUCACUUUCAAGGCAGGUGCAGCACCACUGAGCUAAAUCCCUGGCCCUGAAGUCAUGGUUUUGUAAUGGUUUUUGAUUAUCAUGUUGCUCAGCUGCAAAGAGCAGAACACCCAAGAGUGGCAAAAUAAACUUGGGCUCAUUUCUCUACCAUAACAAGACAAGUGGCCACUGAUGCUGUUUUAGCAGCUCCAGGAGCAUGGAGCUUGCAUCUCCCUGCUUGCUUGCCUUUAACCUCAUGAUUACAAGAAGGUUGCCUGAACUCCUGGCAUCACACCUACAUUCAAAACAGGAAGACAGAGGAAGUUUCCUUCACCUCCUUUGACACCCCCUAGCCUGACAGUCCUACACAAUCCAGUUACUGGAUGGAGGGUCUUGUGGGCUUCUUUCUAGGUUCUUGGUGUCCUGAGCAAAGAAUUGUGCAAGACACAUGGAAAAGGCAGUGAAAAUGUACUUUUAUUGAAGGUGGAAAAGAGACCAAAAGCAGAUUUCUGACAUUACUGCUGAGGAGGAGGAAGAGGAGGUCACCCAGGACCUCAAUGCCCAAAGCAUUAAAUCACCCGAUAAAGAGGUGCUGCUAUUCCUGGGAGCUGGGAAGAGAGCAGACUGUUGAUUCUCAUUUGGUUCCCGGAAAUUCAUUCCCAGGAUGGUAGUACUGUAUUAUUAUCCCACUAGACGCCCAGGGACACUAAGGCAUGGCACAAUGGCUUGACCAAGUCACAUCUGGUGUUAGUCCUGAAUCCGAUUAACCUCUAAGCGCCAUGCCCCUCCCCGCUUCUCCUCCCAGGCACUGGGUCACUCACUACUAACAACCAAGCCUCACGUAGCAACUCUGCAUGGGUGACAAUGCCUUUACAAGUGGGUACAGCAGGUGUGGUUGCACUUGUGUCAGGAAGAAGGGUCUGAGUCUUGCAAGGGUUUUCGUUAGCACCACAUUUGUGCCACAUAUCCUGCUGCGUGUGAAUGUCCUGUGCAAUAUAGAAACACAGGGCCCUGCCAGGCCUGGGUUGGAACCUUGCCUGUGUCUAGUUCACAUUUGUACAGUGACAAUAAUAAGUGUGUCACAAUCAUGGUGUCCAUUAUGGUUCAUUUCUAGACGUUCCCCAGGAGCCUCAUGCGCUCAUAGGUGGGGCUUUCGGAAGGUGAAUGGAUAUGGGGGCUUACAGCUGAUCGCUGGUAGGAGGUGGGCUCUGGUUGGAAGGGUCAGGUUGGUGCGGACCUGGCCUGGAAGGGUGCAUCUCCCUCCCUGGCUCCCUCCUUCACCGUCUGCGUCCUGUCUACCAUGCUGUGAGCAGCUCUCCUCUGCCAGGCUCCUCUGAGGUGCCGUUCUGCCUUGGAGCUGGCUAACCAUGGACUGAAAUGUGAGCUAAAAUAAAGCUUUCCUUAUUUUGUUCUAGCAAUGAGGAAAGUGACUAGGGUAGUGUCACUACAUAACAUACUAAGUAUCAUCACAUGGAUUCCAUCCAUGAGCCUGGAAUAAAGUCAACGCUCAGUAAAUGUCCCAUUGUGUCAUCCUUGACGUCAACUGUGGGGAAAGGAUUGUGACACCCUGAGGCCCAGGCCAGCUGGAUGCUGCUCGCCUUGGAGGCCAGAGGGGUUGGUCAGCUGAUUGGACAGCUGUCACUCGGGAGACUGACUGACUCUUUUAAGGUACUGUGGGUAUUGUGGGUAUUGUGGAUAUUUAAAAGGUACUGAGGUUAUAGACGAGGGUCCUUAGCUGCAGUUUUUCCUAAAAGUACAAUUUUAAAAUCUCGAUUUCCUUGUCACCUUUUUACCUUCUUUUUAUUCUACUUCAUUUCCAAUCGGCCCCCUUCACCUACUCAAAACCCUCGCCACGUCUCCCAUCACAUGAUCUAUGUGGUGUCUCCGGAAAUCCUACAUGGAAAAUUGGACCAAAGCAGGGAGAUACAGCUUCCCUAGGGAGGCGGGAAGGCUGGAAGACAAGGAACGGAGCCUCUCUGGGGAUGGUGGUUCCCUUGGACACAUAGUUUAAUGAAUGAGCCGGGGUGCGAGGGCUGAAGAUGUAGGUCUGCGUUUGAUUCCCAGCCCGGGUGGGGUGUGGGGCGGGGGAUCCCGUCUGGGUUAGAAAGCUGAACCCGGAGCCUUGACUCAGGCACAAGGCUAUGGGCGAUCUGACUCCUCAUCCAGCCGGGCUUUGGUCUGGUGCACGGAGCAGACGCCUCCAGGGUCCCCACGUUCACAGACCUCACUCAGGAGUCCAGGGCCGAAGUUCUCUUCAGAAGCCCUGCGG